UAGUGUGAAAAGCAAGCCCUGGUUUUGUUGAAGUUCCAUUGAAUUUCUGUGAUACCUAAGUACUAAUGCUCAUACUUUGCAAUUUUCUCUCCACAUCUUUCAGUCAUGGGUUCUUGAGGAAAGCAGGUAAUGCAUUUUGUUUGUGUCAACUAUACUGAAUCUGCAAAGCCUUUUUUGUCUGCAGAGAAACUCACACUCUGCAUUAGUUGUAAAAGCUGCUGAUUUUGAUCUUAACAAUUGCAGGGAAACUAUGGAGAAACUUGCACAGUUUGGGCAGCGUCAGUAGGCAGAGUUGCUGUUCAAGUAGCAGCAGAUCACCAGCGCGCGGACUAGGAGAUCCAGGUCAUGGGCCAUCCCCAUUCAGGUAAGCUUGCUUUUCAUUUGUGUUUUUUGUUUGAAGGUUUUUUUAGGGCUUCUUUGAUGAAUUACUCAUAUGUGAGGACAUUAUAGGCCAUGCACACAUUGAGUGAACAGAUUCAGCUUUCUUUUUUAUCCCUUGGUAGUUCUCUGAAGGAAAUAUGCCCUAGAGGCAAUAAUAAAGUUAUUAUUUAUUCCCUUAUAUCAUGAUAAAAGUUUAUUAUUCAUGCUAGAAUUGUAUUAACCGGAAACAUAAUACAUGUGUGAAUACAUAGACAAACAGAGUGUCACUAGUAUGCCUCUACUAGACUAGCUUGUUAAUCAAAGAUGGUUAUGUUUCCUAACCAUGGACAAAGAGUUGUCAUUUGAUUAACAGGAUCACAUCAUUAGUUGAAUGAUCUGAUUGACAUGACCCAUUCCAUUAGCUUAGCACUCGAUCGUUUAGUAUGUUGCUAUUGCUUUCUUCAUGACUUAUACAUGUUCCUAUGAUUAUGAGAUUAUGCAACUCCCGUUUGCCGGAGGAACACUUUGUGUGCUACCAAACGUCACAACGUAACUGGGUGAUUAUAAAGGAGCUCUACAUGUGUCUCCAAAGGUACAUGUUGGGUUGGCGUAUUUCGAGAUUAGGAUUUGUCACUCCGAUUGUCGGAGAGGUAUCUCUGGGCCCUCUCGGUAAUGCACAUCACUUAAGCCUUGCAAGCAUUGCAACUAAUGAGUUAGUUGCGGGAUGAUGUAUUACAGAACGAGUAAAGAGACUUGCCGAUGACGAGAUUGAACUAGGUAUGGGAUACCGACGGUCGAAUCUCAGGCAAGUAACAUACCGAUGACAAAGGGAACAACGUAUGUUGUUAUGCGGUCUGACCGAUAAAAGAUCUUCGUAGAAUAUGUAGGAGCCAAUAUGAGCAUCCAGGUUCCGCUAUUGGUUAUUGACCGGAGACGUGUCUCGGUCAUGUCUACAUUGUUCUUGAACCCGUAGGGUCCGCACGCUUAAGGUUACGAUGACAGUUAUAUUAUGAGUUUAUACAUUUUGAUGUACCGAAGGUUGUUCGGAGUCCCGGAUGUGAUCACGGACAUGACGAGGAGUCUCGAAAUGGUCGAGACAUAAAGAUUGAUAUAUUGAAAGCCUAUGUUUGGAUAUCGGAAGUGUUCCGGGUGAAAUCGGGAUUUUACCGGAGUACCGGGGGUUACCGGAACCCCCCGGGAGCUAUAUGGGCCUAAGUGGGCCUUAGUGGAAAAGAGAAGGGGUAGCCCAAUAUGGCCGCGCGCCCCUCCCCUCCCUUGGUCCGAAUAGGACAAGGAGAGGGGGCCGACCCCCCUCUCUCUUUUCCCCCCUCCGCGAAUCCUAUUCCANNNNNNNNNNNNNNNNNNNNNNNNNNNNNNNNNNNNNNNNNNNNNNNNNNNNNNNNNNNNNNNNNNNNNNNNNNNNNNNNNNNNNNNNNNNNNNNNNNNNNNNNNNNNNNNNNNNNNNNNNNNNNNNNNNNNNNNNNNNNNNNNNNNNNNNNNNNNNNNNNNNNNNNNNNNNNNNNNNNNNNNNNNNNNNNNNNNNNNNNNNNNNNNNNNNNNNNNNNNNNNNNNNNNNNNCUUUAUAUACGGAGGCAGGGGCACCCCAGAAAAACACAAGUUGAUCCACGUGAUCAUAUUCUUAGCCGUGUGCGGUGCCCCCUUCCACCAUAGUCCUCGAUAAUAUUGUAGCGGUGCUUAGGCGAAGCCCUGCUGCAGUAGUACAUCAAGAUCAUCACCACGCCGUCGUGCUGACGGAACUCUUCCCCGACAUUUUGCUGGAUCGGAGUCCGGGGAUCAUCAUCGAGCUGAACGUGUGCUAGAACUCGGAGGUGUCGUAGUUUCGGUGCUUGAUCGGUCGGGCCGUGGAGACGUACGACUACAUCAACCAAACGCUUCCGUUGUCGAUCUACAAGGGUACAUAGAUCAUACUCUCCCCUCUCGUUGCUAUGCAUCACCAUGAUCUUGCGUGAGCGUAGGAAAAUUUUGAAAUUACUACGAAACCCAACAGUGGCAUCCGAGCCAGGUUUUAUAUGUUGAUGUUAUAUGCACGAGUAGAACACAAGUGAGUUGUGGGCGAUAUAAGUCAUACUGCUUACCAGCAUGUCAUACUUUGGUUCAGCGGUAUUGUUGGACGAAGCGGCCCAAACCGACAUUACGCGUACGCUUACGCGAGACCGGUUCUCCCGACGUGCUUUGCACAUAGGUGGCUUGCGGGUGACAGUUUCUCCAACUUUAGUUGAAUUGAGUGUGGCUACGCCCGGUCCUUGCGAAGGUUAAAACAGCACCAACUUGACAAACUAUCGUUGUGAUUUUGAUGCGUAGGUAAGAUUGGUUCUUGCUUAAGCCCGUAGCAGCCACGUAAAACUUGCAACAACAAAGUAGAGGACGUCUAACUUGUUUUUGCAGGGCAUGUUGUGAUAUGAUAUGGUCAAAACGUGAUGAGAUAUAAGUUGUUGUAUGAGAUGAUCAUGUUUUGUUAAAGUUAUCGGCAACUGACAAAAGCCUUAUGGUUGUCUCUUUAUUGCAUGAGAUGCAAGCGCCAAAUAAUUGUUUUACUUUAUCGCUAUGCGAUAGCAAUAGUUGCAAGAGCAAUAGCUGGCGAGACUACCGUGUGACGACACAUUGAUAUAGAUAAAGAUGAUGGAGAUCAUGGUGUCUGUUGGAUUUCGUAGUAAUUUCAAAAAAAUUCCUACGCUCACGCAAGAUCAUGUGAUGCAUAGCAACGAGAGGGGAGAGUGUUGUCUACGUACCCACGCAGACCGACUGCGGAAGCGUUGACGCAACGUAGAGGAAGUAGUCGUACGUCUUCCCGAUCCGACCGAUCAAGCACCGAAAAUAUGGCACCUCCGAGUUCGAGCACACGUUCAGCUCGAUUACGAUCCCCGGACUCCGAUCCAGCAAAGUGUCGGGGAAGAGUUCCGUCAGCACGACGGCGUGGUGACGAUCUUGAUGUACUACAGCAGCAGGGCUUCGCCUAAACUCCGCUACAGUAUUAUCGAGGAUUAUGGUGGCUGGGGGCACCGCACACGGCUAAGGAAUAGAUCAUGUGGAUCAACUUGUUGUGUUUUUGGUGCUAGCCCUGCCCCUCUAUUUAUAUGUUGAGCCCCGGGGUCGAAACUUGGAGCAAAAGUCUCCUCAAAGUCGGUUUUUCCCGAAAGGCAAGAGUCCCACUCGGACUCCAGGACCAAACGCCACAAUCCUUGGCGUCUGGCCCAGACGCCAUGGGCCUCGGCGUCUGGCCCAGGGCCAGACGCCAGGGUCUCCGGCGUUUGGCUCCCUGGCCUCCACAAAACUCCUUUUGCGCCGACCUAAAACCUCAUGGGCUUGACCCCGUGGCCUAACCAUAUCAUCCGAUAUAUGAAUCUUUACGUCUCGACCAUUUCGAGACUCCUCGUCAUGUCCCCGAUCUCAUCCGGGACUCCGAACUCCUUCGGUACAUCAAAACAUGUAAACUCAUAAUAUAACUGUCAUCGUAACCUUAAGCGUGCGGACCCUACGGGUUCGAGAACAAUGUAGACAUGACCGAGACACGUCUCCGGUCAAUAACCAAUAGCGGGACCUGGAUGCCCAUAUUGGCUCCUACAUAUUCUACGAAGAUCUUUAUCGGUCAGACCGCAUAACAACAUACGUUGUUCCCUUUGUCAUCGGUAUGUUACUUGCCCGAGAUUUGAUCGUCGGUAUCCAAUACCUAGUUCAAUCUCGUUACCGGUAAGUCUCUUUACUCGUUCUGUAAUACAUCAUCCCGCAACUAACUCAUUUAGUUGCAAUGCUUGCAAGGCUUAAGUGAUGUGCAUUACCGAGAGGGCCCAGAGAUACCUCUCCGACAAUCGGAGUGACAAAUCCUAAUCUCGAAAUACGCCAACCCAACAUCUACCUUUGGAGACACCUGUAAUGCUCCUUUAUAAUCACCCAGUUACGUUGUGAGGUUUGGUAGCACCCAAAGUGUUCCUCCGACAAACGGGAGUUGCAUAAUCUCAUAGUCAUAGGAACAUGUAUAAGUCAUGAAGAAAGCAAUAGCAACAUAUUAAACGAUCGGGUGCUAAGCUAAUGGAAUGGGUCAUGUCAAUCAGAUCAUUCAACUAAUGAUGUGAUCUCGUUAAUCAAAUAACAACACUUUGUUCAUGGUUAGGAAACAUAACCAUCUUUGAUUAACGAGCUAGUCAAGUAGAGGCAUACUAGUGACACUAAGUUUGUCUAUGUAUUCACACAUGUAUUAUGUUUCCGGUUAAUACAAUUCUAGCAUGAAUAAUAAACAUUUAUCAUGAUAUAAGGAAAUAAAUAAUAACUUUAUUAUUGCCUCUAGGGCAUAUUUCCUUCAGUCAUGCUGGUGACGAUAGAGAUCAUGACAGUACUUUGGAGAUGGAGAUCAAAGGCGCAAGAUGAUGAUGGCCAUAUCAUGUCACAUAUUUUGAUUGCAUAUGAUGUUUAUCUUUUAUACAUCUUAUUUUGCUUAGUUUGACGGUAGCAUUUUAAGAUGAUCUCUCACUAAUUAUCAAGAAGUGUUCUUCCUGAGUAUGCACCGUUGCGAAAAUUCUUCGUGCUGAGACACCACGUGAUGAUCAGGUGUGAUAGGCUCUACGUUCAAAUACAACGGGUGCAAAACAGUUGCACACGCGGAAUACUCAGGUUAUACUUGAUGAGCCAAGCAUAUACAGUUAUGGCCUCGGAACACGGAGACCGAAAGAUCGAGCGUGAAUCAUAUAGUAGAUAUGAUCAACAUAGUGAUGUUCACCAAUGAAACUACUCCAUCUCACGUGAUGAUCGGACAUGGUUUAGUUGAUUUGGGUCACGUGAUCACCUAGAGGAUUAGAGGGAUGUCUAUCUAAGUGGGAGUUCUUAAGUAAUAUGAUUAAAUUGAACUUAAAUUUAUCAUGAACUUAGUCCUAGUAGUAUUUUGCAAAUCAUAUUGUAGAUCAAUAGCUCGCGUUGUUGCUUCCCUGUGUUUAUUUUGAUAUGUUCCUAGAGAAAAUUGUGUUGAAAGAUGUUAGUAGCAAAGAUGCGGAUUGGAUCCGUGAUCUGAGGUUUAUCCUCAUUGCUGCACAGAAGAAUUGUCCUUGAUGCACCGCUAGGUGACAGACCUAUUGCAGGAGCAGAUGCAGACAUUAUGAACGUUUGGCUAGCUCAAUAUGAUGACUACUUGAUAGUUUAGUGCACCAUGCUUAAUGGCUUAGAAUCGGGACUUCAAAGACGUUUUGAAUGUCAUGGACCAUAUGAGAUGUUCCAGGAGUUGAAGUUAAUAUUUCAAGCAAAUACCCGAGUUGAGCAAUAUGAAAUCUCCAACAAGUUCUAUAGCUAAAAGAUGGAGGAGAAUCGCUCAACUAGUGAGCAUGUGCCCAGAUUGUCUGAGUACUACAAUCGCUUGAAUCAAGUGGGAGUUAAUCUUCCAGAUAAGAUAGUGAUUGAUAGAAUUCUCUAGUCACCAUCACCAAGUUAGUAGAACUUCGUGAUGAAAUAUGAUAUGCAAGGGAUAACGGAAACGAUUCCCAAGCUCUUCGUAAUGCGGAAAUUGAUGAAGGUAGAAAUCGAGAAAAACAUCAAGUGUUGAUGGUAGACAAGACCACUAGUUUCAAGAAAAGGGCAGAGGGAAGAAGGGGAACUUCAAAAAGAACAGCAAGCAAGUUGCUGCUCAAGUGAAGAAGCCCAAGUCUGAUCCUAAGCCUGAGACUAAGUGCUUCUACUGCAAAGGGACUGGUCACUGGAAGCGAAACUACCCCAAGUGAUUGCCAGAUAAGAAGGAUGGCAAAGUGAACAUAAGUAUAUUUGAUAUACAUGUUAUUGAUGUGUACUUUACUAGUGUUUAUAGCAACUCCUCAGUAUUUGAUACUAGUUCAGUUGCUAAGAUUAGUAACUCGAAAUGGGAGUUGCAGAAUAAACAGAGACUAGUUAAGGGUAAAGUGACGAUGUGUGUUGGAAGUGGUUCCAAGAUUGAUAUGAUCAUCAUCGCACACUCCCUAUAAAUUCGGGAUUAGUGUUGAACCUAAAUAAGUGUUAUUUGGUGUUUACGUUGAGCAUGAAUAUGAUUUGAUCAUGUUUAUUGUAAUACGGUUAUUCAUUUAAGUAAGAGAAUAAAUUGUUGUUCUGUUUACAUGAAUAAAAUCUUCUAUGGUCAUACACACCAACGAAAAUGGUUUGUUGGAUCUCGAUUGUAGUGAUGCACAUAUUAAUAACAUUGAAGCCAAAAGAUGCAAAGUUAAUAAUGAUAGUGCAACUUAUUUGUAGCACUGCCGUUUAGGUCAUAUUGGUGUAAAGCGCAUGAAGAAACUCCAUGCUGAUGGGAUUUUGGAAUCACUUGAUUAAGAAUCACUUGAUGGUUGCGUACCAUGCCUCAUGGGCAAGAUGACUAAGACUCCGUUCUCCGGAGCGAGCAACUGACUUAUUGGAAAUAAUACAUACUGAUGUAUGCGGUCCGAUGAGUGUUAAGGCUCACGGCAAGUAUCGUUAUUUUCUGAACUUCACAGAUGAUUUGAGCAUAUAUGGGUAUAUCUACUUGAUGGAACAUAAGUCUGAAACAUUUGAAAAGUUCAAAGAAUUUCAGAGUAAAGUGGAAAAUCAUCGUGACAAGAAAAUAAAGUUUCUACGAUCUGAUCGCGGAGACAAAUAUUUGAGUUACGAGUUUGGCCUUCAGCUAAAAACUAUGUGAAAUAGUUUCACUACUCACGCCACCUGGAACACCACAGCAUAAUGGUGUGCUCGAACGUCAUAACCGUACUUUAUUAGAUAUGGUGCGAACUAUGAUGUCUCUUACCAAUCUACCACUAUCAUUUUGGGAUUAUGCAUUAGAGACAACUGCAUUCACGUUAAAUAGGGCACCAUCUAAAUCCGUUGAAACGACACCGUAUGAACUAUGGUUUGGCAAGAAACCUAAGCUGUCGUUUCUUAAAGUUUGAGGUUGCAAUGCUUAUGUGAAAAAGUUUCAACCUGAUAAGCUCAAACCCAAAUUGGAGAAGUGCAUCUUCAUAGGAUACCCAAAAUAAAAUGUUGGGUACACCUUCUAUCACAGAUCCAAAGGCAAGAUAUUCGUUGCUGAGUAUGGAUCCUUUCUAGAGAAGGAGUUUCUCUCGAAAGAAGUGAGUGGGAGGAAAGUAGAACUUGACGAGGUAACUAUACCCACUCCCUUAUUCGAAAGUAGUACAUCACAGAAACCUGUUUCUGCGACACCUACACCAAUUAGUGAGGAAGCUAAUGAUAAUAAUCAUGAAACUUCAGAACAAGAUACUACUGAACCUCGUAGAUCAACCAGAGUGGGAUCCGCGCCAGAGUGGUACGGUAAUCCUGUUCUGGAAGUCAUGCUACUAGAUCGUGAUGAACCUACGAACUAUGAAGAAGCGAUGGUGAGCCCAGAUUCCGCGAAAUGGCUUGAAGCCAUGAAAUCUGAGAUAUGAUCCAUGUAUGAGAACAAAGUAUGGACUUUGAUGGAUUUGCUCGAUGAUCGGCAAGCCAUAGAAAAUAAAUGGAUCUUCAAGAGGAAGACGGACGCUGAUAGUAGUGUUACUAUCUACAAAGCUCAACUUGUCGCAAAAGGUUUUCGGCAAGUUCAAGGGAUUGACUACGAUGAGACCUUCUCACCCGUAGCGAUGCUUAAGUCUGUCCGAAUCAUGUUAGCAAUUGCCGCAUUUUAUGAAAUCCAGCAAAUGGAUGUCAAAACUGCAUUCCUGAAUAGAUUUCUGGAAGAAGAGUUGUAUAUGAUGCAGCCGGAAGGUUUUGUCGAUCCAAAAGGAGCUAACAAAGUGUGCAAGCUCCAGCGAUCCAUUCAUGGACUGGUGCAAGCCUCUCGGAGUUGGAAUAAACGCUUUGAUAGUAUGAUCAAAGCAUAUAGUUUUAUACAGACUUGCGGUGAAGCCUGUAUUUACAAGAAAGUGAGUGGGAGCACUACAGCAUUUCUGAUAAGUAUAUGUGAAUGACAUAUUGUUGAUCGGAAAUAAUGUAGAAUUAUUCUGCAAAGCAUAAAGGAGUGUUUUUAAAGAAGUUUUUCAAAGAAAAACCUCGGUGAAGCUGCUUACAUAUUAAGCAUCAAAAUCUAUAGAGAUAGAUCAAGACGCUUGAUAAGUUUUUUCAAUGAGUACAUACCUUGAAAAUAUUUUGAAGUAGUUCAAAAAUGGAACAGUCAAAGAAAGAGUUCUUGGCUGUGUUACAAGGUAUGAAAUUGAGUAGGACUCAAAAGCCCGACCACGGCAGAAGAUAGAAAGAGGAUGAAAGUCAUUCCCUAUGCCUCAGCCAUAGGUUCUAUAAAGUAUGCCAUGAUGUGUACCAGAUCUAUUAUAUACCCUACACUGUGUUAAGCAAGGGAGUACAAUAGUGAUCUAAGAGUAGAUCACUGAACAUUGGUCAAAAUUAUCCUUAGUGGAAUAAGGAAAUAUUUCUCGAUUAUGGAGGUGACAAAAGGUUCGUUGUAAAAGGUUACGUCGAUGCAAGUUUUGACACAGAUCUGGAUGACUCUAAGUCUCGAUCUAGAUACAUAUUGAAAGUGGGAGCAAUUAGCUAGAGUAGCUCUGUACAGAGAAUUGUAGACAUAGAAUUCGCAAAAUACUUACGAAUCUGUAUGUGACAGACCCGUUGACUAAAAUUAUCUCACAAGCAAAACAUGAUCACACCUUAGUAUUCUUUGGGUGUUAAUCACAUAAAUGAUGUGAACUAGAUUAUUGACUCUAGUAAACCCUUUGGUUAUAGGUCACAUGACGAUGUGAACUAUGGGUGUUAAUCACAUGGUGAUGUGAACUCUUAGUGUUGAAUCACAUGGAGAUGUGAACUAGAUUAUUGACUCUAGUGCAAGUGGGAGACUGAAGGAAAUAUGCCCUAGAGGCAAUAAUAAAGUUAUUAUUUAUUCCCUUAUAUCAUGAUAAAAGUUUAUUAUUCAUGCUAGAAUUGUAUUAACCGGAAACAUAAUACAUGUGUGAAUACAUAGACAAACAGAGUGUCACUAGUAUGCCUCUACUAGACUAGCUUGUUAAUCAAAGAUGGUUAUGUUUCCUAACCAUGGACAAAGAGUUGUCAUUUGAUUAACAGGAUCACAUCAUUAGUUGAAUGAUCUGAUUGACAUGACCCAUUCCAUUAGCUUAGCACUCGAUCGUUUAGUAUGUUGCUAUUGCUUUCUUCAUGACUUAUACAUGUUCCUAUGAUUAUGAGAUUAUGCAACUCCCGUUUGCCGGAGGAACACUUUGUGUGCUACCAAACGUCACAACGUAACUGGGUGAUUAUAAAGGAGCUCUACAUGUGUCUCCAAAGGUACAUGUUGGGUUGGCGUAUUUCGAGAUUAGGAUUUGUCACUCCGAUUGUCGGAGAGGUAUCUCUGGGCCCUCUCGGUAAUGCACAUCACUUAAGCCUUGCAAGCAUUGCAACUAAUGAGUUAGUUGCGGGAUGAUGUAUUACAGAACGAGUAAAGAGACUUGCCGAUGACGAGAUUGAACUAGGUAUGGGAUACCGACGGUCGAAUCUCAGGCAAGUAACAUACCGAUGACAAAGGGAACAACGUAUGUUGUUAUGCGGUCUGACCGAUAAAAGAUCUUCGUAGAAUAUGUAGGAGCCAAUAUGAGCAUCCAGGUUCCGCUAUUGGUUAUUGACCGGAGACGUGUCUCGGUCAUGUCUACAUUGUUCUUGAACCCGUAGGGUCCGCACGCUUAAGGUUACGAUGACAGUUAUAUUAUGAGUUUAUACAUUUUGAUGUACCGAAGGUUGUUCAGAGUCCCGGAUGUGAUCACGGACAUGACGAGGAGUCUCGAAAUGGUCGAGACAUAAAGAUUGAUAUAUUGAAAGCCUAUGUUUGGAUAUCGUAAGUGUUCCGGGUGAAAUCGGGAUUUUAUCGGAGUACCGGGAGGUUACCGGAACCCCCCGGGAGCUAUAUGGGCCUAAGUGGGCCUUAGUGAAAAAGAGAAGGGGCAGCCCAAGAUGGGCCGCGCGCCCCUCCCCUCCCUUGGUCCGAAUAAGACAAGGAGAGGGGGCCGGCCCCCCUCUCUCUUUCCCCCCCUCCGCGAAUCCUAUUCCAACUAGGAUUGGGGGGGGAAUCCUACUCCCAGAGGGAGUAGGACUCCUCCUGGCGCGCCUCUCCUAGGCCGGCCGCACCCCCCCUUGAGCCUUUAUAUACAGAGGCAGGGGCACCCCAGAAAAAACACAAGUUGAUCCACGUGAUCAUAUUCUUAGCCGUGUGCGGUGCCCCCUUCCACCAUAGUCCUCGAUAAUAUUGUAGCGGUGCUUAGGUGAAGCCCUGCUGCAAUAGUACAUCAAGAUCGUCACCACGCCGUCGUGCCGACGGAACUCUUCCCCGACACUUUGCUGGAUCGGAGUCCGGGGAUCGUCAUCGAGCUGAACGUGUGCUAGAACUCGGAGGUGCCGUAGUUUCGGUGCUUGAUCGGUCGGGCCGUGGAGACGUACGACUACAUCAACCAAACGCUUCCGUUGUCGAUCUACAAGGGUACGUAGAUCAUACUCUCCCCUCUCGUUGCUAUGCAUCACCAUGAUCUUGCGUGAGCGUAGGAAAAUUUUGAAAUUACUACGAAACCCAACAGUUCUCAUUGAAUCUUCAAUUAUGAAUAUCGUUGCAAUUAGCAAGCAACCGUGAUGGCAGAAACUAGCUAGAUGCCUAGAUUGAUGUGUUCCGUUAUUCUAUGCAGAUUCUGCACUCCAACUAAUUGUUUUUCCGUUGUUAGCCGGAUCCUUCAUGGUUGGAGUGAAGGGGCAGGGGGGCUGGCAAUGGGGGAAGGAGCAGCGAGGCCGGGCCGACGGCGCGGACAUGUUGCAUCUUCUUUCGUGGACCAUGGAUACUUGGUACGUCGCUUUGCUUUCCUUUGUUGGGGAUGGUGACGAUGUAGUAGUCCACUCCUUACACAACUCGGCCUAAACGCUUCAGUGUGCGGCAGCCGCUGGAGAUUUGAGUUUUGUACAGGGAGGCACAUCGGAGGGCAGUAGUCGAUGUUUUAGCCAAUCAUGAUGUAUUGCACAUUGCCUUUCGUUUGCCUCUCACUCUUAUUCUUGACAUGUUGAUUUUUCACUGACAUGGAGAAGAAGAGA
rnacentral:lncRNA from 1 species